AUUGAACGCUGGCGGCAGGCCUAACACAUGCAAGUCGAGCGGAUGAAGGGAGCUUGCUCCUGGAUUCAGCGGCCGACGGGCGAGUAAUUACUAGGAAUCUGCCUGGUAUUGGGGGAUAACGUACGGUAACGGGCCCUAAUACCGCAUACGUCCUGAUGGAGAACGGGGUGGAUCUUCAGACUACGCGCGAUCUGCUGAGCCUAGGCCGGAUUAGCUAGUUGGUGGGGUAAAGGCUUACCAAGGCGACGAUCCGUAACUGGUCUGAGAGGAUGAUCAGACACACUGGAACUGAGACACGGUCCAGACUCCUACGGGAGGCAGCAGUGGGGAAUAUUGGGCAAUGGGCGAAAGCCUGACCCAGCAAUGCCGCGUGAGUGAAGAAGGUCUUCGGAUUGUAAAGCACUUUAAGUUGGGAGGAAGAACAGUAAGUUAAUACCUUGCUGUCUUGACGUUACCAACAGAAUAAGCACCGGCUAACUUCGUG
rnacentral:rRNA from 1 species